AUAUUUUGCCAUACAAUCUUUAGUAUUUUUGUCAUUUUGUUGAGUUAUGGACAUCCUCAAAGCAGAGAUCGCGAGGAAAAGAAAGCUUAUAGAGGACAAAGAUCUCAUAGACGACUCAAAGAAAUACUUCAAAAGGGCUGAUCUCGCGCGAAAGGAAGAGGAAGAAUAUUAUAGGAGAUGUGGAUACAAGGUUUCUAAUGAGCAGCCUGUGAGACAGCUGGACAAGACUGAGGAUGAGGAGCCUCCAUCUACAUCAGCCAAUCCUGUGUUAGAACUAGAGCUCACGGAGGAGAAACUGCCAAUGACGCUCUCUCGACAGGAGGCGGUCAGACGUCUGAGGGAACGAGGCGAGCCGGUCCGUCUGUUUGGCGAAUCCGAUUAUGAUGCUUUCCAGAGACUCCGCAAAAUUGAAAUUCUAGCACCAGAAGUAAACAAGGGUUUGAGGAAUGAUCUGAAGGCUGCCAUGGAUAAGAUCGAUCAGCAGUAUCUGAAUGAGAUUGUGGGUGGAGCAGAAGGUUCAGUUUUACUGGACACACAACACGACCUCAAAGUGCAUGAAGAAAAUACCACCAUUGAGGAGCUGGAGGAUCUGGGAGCAUCUCUUGGCACUGGUAAUGAUGUUCGAGACAUGGACGUCAUAAAUAAAGUACUUAGGUUCUUGCUGGGCGUGUGGGCUAAAGAUCUAAACAGCCGAGAGGACCAUGUGAAGCGCAGUGUCCAGGGCAAGCUCGCCAGUGCCACCCAAAAACAGACCGAAUCUUAUCUGGAACCUCUUUUCAGAAAACUACGCAAGAAGAAUUUACCAGGAGACAUUAAGGAGUCCAUUACAGACAUCAUAAAGUUUAUGCUGGAGAGGGAAUAUGUUAAGGCAAAUGAUGCGUAUCUGCAGAUGGCUAUAGGAAACGCUCCGUGGCCCAUCGGUGUGACCAUGGUGGGCAUCCACGCUCGUACUGGACGUGAGAAGAUCUUCUCCAAACACGUCGCCCAUGUGCUCAAUGACGAGACCCAAAGGAAAUACAUUCAGGGGCUGAAAAGAUUAAUGACAAUCUGUCAGAAACAUUUCCCAACAGAUCCCUCAAAGUGUGUGGAGUACAACGCUCUGUGACGUACACUUCACAACAUUCAAAGUCAUGUUGUCUCUCGCUCUCUCGUGUUGUAAAUAACUUAUUGAUUGUAAAUAUACCCCAGUCUUGAGAACAUAUGGAUUUCUUUAGCAGUGGUUUUCAAUCCUGGGACCCACCGGUUUGCACGUUUGUGUGCGUGAGAGUUCCAUGAGUGUUACUGAGUGUCAGAUAAGAGAGACAAAUGUGCAGAGUGGUGGGAACCCAGGACCAGGAUUGAAAAC